rnacentral:rRNA from 1 species
GUCCGUUUGAUGAUAUAAAUGGUCUGGCCUGCUCACUGAUAAAUGUAUUUAAUAGCCGCGGUAUCUUGACCGUGCAAAGGUAGCAUAAUCAUUAGAAGUUUAAUUGGAAUCUGGAAUGAAGGGUUGGACAAAGGAAAAGCUGUCUUUAUAUUAAAAAUUGAAGUUUACUUUUAAGUGAAAAGGCUUAAAUAAAUCAAAGGGACGAUAAGACCCUAUAAAGCUUUAUAAGUCAAUCAAAUCUAACUAAUUUAAUAUAUAAAAGUUAAAUUUGAUUAUUUUAUUUUGUUGGGGUGAUGUGAGUAUAAAUUUUAUUAACUGCUUAGUAAAAAUACAAUUAUUAGUGGUUUAAAAUGUGAAUGAUCCUUUUUAAAGAUUAAAAGACUAAGUUACUUUAGGGAUAACAGCGUUAUUUCUUUUGAGAGUUCAUAUCGAAAAAGAAGAUUGCGACCUCGAUGUUGAAUUAAAAUAUCUAUAUAAUGUAGCCGUUAUAAAAGAAAGUCUGUUCGACUUUUAAAUUUUU